UACGUAGGGCGCAAGCGUUGUCCGGAAUUAUUGGGCGUAAAGAGCUCGUAGGCGGUUUGUCGCGUCUGCUGUGAAAUCCCGAGGCUCAACCUCGGGCUUGCAGUGGGUACGGGCAGACUAGAGUGCGGUAGGGGAGACUGGAAUUCCUGGUGUAGCGGUGGAAUGCGCAGAUAUCAGGAGGAACACCAAUUGCGAAGGCAGCUCGCUGGGACGUAACUGACGCUGAGACGCGAAAGCGUGGGGAGCAAACAGG
rnacentral:rRNA from 1 species